UAUUAAAAAGCUUUCAAACUGGGAUUAGAUACCCCACUAUGCUCAACUGUAAACCUUGGAAAAAUUUGCACAAUAUUGACUCGCCUGAAAAUUACAAGCGUAAGCUCAAAACUCAAAGGGUCUGGCGGCACUUUAAACUAUCUAGAGGAGCUUGUCCUAUAAUCGAUAAUCCCCGUUAAACCUCACCUUCUUUAGCUUAUCAGCCUGUAUACCGCCGUCGUCAGCUUACCCCCUAAAGGGUACACAGUAAGCAAAACUGGCUUUGCCCAAAACGUCAGGUCGAGGUGCAGCUUACAAGAAGGGAAGAGAUGAGCUACAUUUCCUGUACAGGAAAUACGAAUAGUACACUGAAAUGUGUACAUUGAAGGAGGAUUUAGAAGUAAGUAAAAAAUAGAGUGUUUUACUGAAAAAGGUCUUAAAGUGCGUACACACCGCCCGUCACCCUCUAACAGUCAAUUUUA
rnacentral:rRNA from 1 species